GAAGCUGCCACCAAGCUUCCUUCUGUGUCUCUCAUGGCGUAUUCAUUUUUCAUUUUCUCUUUUUGGAUAAUUUCAAGAAAAGAACAGUAUCCAUCUUUUCCUUUUUCUUUCCUCAAUGGCAUCAUUCAGCCUUCUUCAACUCACCUUCAUCAUCUUCUGCUCUCUCUUGCUGUACUCCGAGCUCUGAUCGCAGAAGAGAGAGAGAGAAAGAGAGAGAGAUGUUUGCUCCGCCGGGCUAUCAGCAAGUGUCGCACUUCGAUCACGUCCGUCGGCGCCAUGAAGAAAGAGGCUGCCUCUACGCCUGCCUGUUCGCGCUGUGUUGCUGCUUCUGCUGCUUCGAGACUUGCGAGUACUGCUUGGAGAUGCUCUGUUGUUGCUGCCCCUAAAAUAAACUACACGCAUGAACAUCAUGGAUAUCACUCCCUCAGUUUCUCGUGAUGUUCUGUAGAUCUGGUUUCUUCAGUGUAUCCACUUUGAAAUAAUAUGAAGUCUCGGUUCAUGUAUAUCUUCUAAUAUACCUGAAGAAGUUCAAGGCUUGCGAGUUCUCAUCAAGCUAUUACGUAAUACCCAUUUAGAGCUAUUGUUUCUUAAGAAGAGAUUGAUGGUCUAAAAUUCAGUUUUACUGAAGAAAAUAGAUGGCGGUCUGGGCAACAAUCCAGAAGCAAACGAGACUUGCAUUAGAGCACAUCUUUUGGCAUCAGAAGAAGAAGAAGAAUGAGGGGCUAACCCUCACCGCGAGGCAUACGAAUUCUUGGCCACGAGGGCACUUCCAACUGCGAAAUGCUUGUACUUCGGGACUCGAGUUAUGUCAAGAAACUAAAUGAGUAGAAAAUAUUGGAAGCAACGAAAAUAAACUUCAUGCUACAUGUGCUUCCUUUCCUACUUCUACCCGAUAAUAAGAACCAGAAAAA